AUUGAACGCUGGCGGCAGGCUUAACACAUGCAAGUCGAACGAGUGGCGGACGGGUGAGUAAUGCUUGGGAAUCUAGCUUAUGGAGGGGGAUAACUACGGGAAACGGUAGCUAAUACCGCAUACCAUAGGAUGAGCCCAAAUGGGAUUAGGUAGUUGGUGGGGUAAAGGCUCACCAAGCCGACGAUCCCUAGCUGGUCUGAGAGGAUGACCAGCCACACUGGGACUGAGACACGGCCCAGACUCCUACGGGAGGCAGCAGUGGGGAAUAUUGCGCAAUGGGCGCAAGCCUGAUGCAGCCAUGCCGCGUGUAUGAAGAAGGCCUUCGGGUUGUAAAGUUCUUUCGGCAGCGAGGCGUUACCUGCAGAAGAAGCACCGGCUAACUCCGUGCCAGCAGCCGCGGUAAUUC
rnacentral:rRNA from 1 species